GAAAGGAAACUAGGGUCUUUUAAGUGAAGAAUUGAUGGUUUUCAUGUGAGCGACGCUUACGUCCACGUUAGACGAAUAAGCUCAAACACCCAUUAAUAAAGACCUGAGCAAUGAAACGGAUAUUGAAAGGCAUAAUGUUAAUUAAAAGACACCUGUGAAGUUUGCUCCCGAAAACACCCAAUGUCGACAUUAGCAUUAGCCUUUUUGUCGAACACAGUUUAGUAUGCUGUUUCCAUCUGUUCAUUAACAUACUUGGGAAUGUAAAUUUCCGAGAAGCAGCUUCUAAGCAAAUUAAACAAACGGAGCGUAAAGAGGCUAAACUACUGGGUGAAACCCGUUUACAGUCGAAGAAGCAAGACCAAAGUUCUUCGUUGUCGGGAGAUGUCGUCCUUCCCAAGAUCUCAAGUACAGGAGUGAAGGGGAGUCCUAGGUCCCACUAACAUCAGCAUCUUUUAGCGUAGUAAGCACUCCUACCUCAAAUUUCUGACUGGACACCACACAACAAAUAAAGUUCUACCCAGAAAAUGUGAAGCAGCACGAACAAAAUGAUGUCAUUUUGUUUUAGAAGUUCUGGGAUGGAGAGCAAAUUUCUCUGCUCUUGUGG